AGGGUUUAAGCCAUUCACUGAAUUUCUCUGUAGAUUGUCAAUCACGAAGACGAUGACCUCCAUGGCUGCACUCUCAAGAAGGCUUUGCCGCUCUCUUCUGUCGAAUUCAAAAGCUUCUCAUCACCAUAACAUCCUCCCCGUAACCUAUUGCACUAAUAACCUUUCCUUCCGCUCGGUAUCAGACAUCACUGAGUCCAGUAUUGAAUCGAACUUGGAUUCGGACUCACAUUCAGUAACUAAUCCACCUUCUCUCUCACCCUCCUCGUCUCAAUCAUCAACCCUAUCGAGAACGAUCUACAAUCGACCUCUGGAAAAUGGCCUCGAUGCUGGUGUUUAUAAGGCUAUAUUGGUGGGUCAGGUGGGGCAAAGUCCACUGCAGAAGCGGCUGAAGAGUGGGAUAACAGUGACGCUGUUAUCAGUUGGAACGGGCGGUAUUCGUAAUAAUCGGAGACCCUUGGCUAACGAGGAACCCAGAGAGUAUGCAAAUCGGUGCGCAGUUCAAUGGCAUCGGGUUUCGGUUUAUCCUCAGAGACUGGGCGAUAUUGUCAUGAAGCAUGUUGUGCCUGGUUCAAUUUUGUAUUUGGAGGGGAAUUUGGAGACCAAAAUCUUCAUUGAUCCAACCACCGGUCUUGUUCGACGUAUUAGAGAAGUUGCAAUUCGUCGCAAUGGUCGCCUUCUACUUUUGGGGAAGGGAGAAGGUGAUGCUCAACAGUCCACUCCAUCAGAAUUCAAAGGUGUUGGCUAUUACUAAGAGAUGAUGUUUGCAGUUCUGUCAUCUAAAGUUGCAGUGGUCAUGGGCAUAGUUUCGGUUAGACAGAGUGAAUGCUGGCUUUUUAUGGAACAAUACCAGUAUUUUUCAAACCGCAAGACAAACUCUGACCAAUUGCUAGAGGCACAUGUAUAAGUAAUGGAGCCACAUAAGGCGGAUAUCGUCGAUUUCGAGCUGGUUGUCGUCGUCGACUUCAAAUUUAAGGUUGCUCUGGUUCUUCUUGAUGUUGCUUUAGUACCUCUGCAGACGCUUCAUGAUAUAAAUAUUCAUUAUGCUUUCCACGACCUCGAUCACGUAUGAAGAUGAAGGAUCAGUCUCUAAAUCAUAAUGUCUUGAGCCAAAUGCUGACAUCAUCAUCAUCGGACUAACAUAAUCAGUUUGACUCUGCAUCUGCAUCACAUGGGCAACUCUUCCACAUUAUAUGCAACCUCAUCAAACUCAUCGUCUUCCCGUACAGGUCCUCUACGUCUAGGAGUUGGUGGAGGAACAAUAGGUAUAUCGUACAUAUAAUGUAUCUUCUCCAUAUAACUUUGGUUGUCUUUACAUAUAGCAAGAACUUGGUUCGGAUCAUUUGCAACAUUACGGAGUAAUAAAUUUAAAUAAAAAUAAUUAGAUAAUAUUCAUUCAUUUACCAGAUGACCCACAGCUGUUCCCAGACGAGUGACGUAGCAUCUUGAGAUAUUAUUAUACCA